UACGAAGGGUGCAAGCGUUACUCGGAAUUACUGGGCGUAAAGCGUGCGUAGGUGGUGAGUUAAGUCUGUCGUGAAAGCCCCGGGCUCAACCUGGGAAUGGCGAUGGAUACUGGCGACCUAGAGUGCGGUAGAGGGGUGUGGAAUUCCCGGUGUAGCAGUGAAAUGCGUAGAUAUCGGGAGGAACAUCUGUGGCGAAGGCGACACCCUGGACCAGCACUGACACUGAGGCACGAAAGCGUGGGGAGCAAACAGG
rnacentral:rRNA from 1 species